rnacentral:rRNA from 1 species
GAUGAACGCUGGCGGCGUGCUUAACACAUGCAAGUCGAGCGAGAAGUUUUGAAAAGAUUCUUCGGAUGAAAUUUAAAAUGGAAAGCGGCGGACGGGUGAGUAACGCGUAGGCAACCUGCCCCAUACAAAGGGAUAGCAUUUGGAAACGAAUAUUAAUACCUUAUGAAACUUACCUAGUGCAUGCUAGGUAGGUCAAAGAUUUAUCGGUAUGGGAUGGGCCUGCGUCUGAUUAGCUAGUUGGUGAGGUAACGGCUCACCAAGGCGACGAUCAGUAGCCGACCUGAGAGGGUGAACGGCCACAUUGGAACUGAGACACGGUCCAAACUCCUACGGGAGGCAGCAGUGGGGAAUAUUGCACAAUGGGGGAAACCCUGAUGCAGCAACGCCGCGUGAACGAUGAAGGCCUUUGGGUCGUAAAGUUCUGUUCUAGGUGAUGAAAACUGACAGUAACCUAGGAGAAAGCCCCGGCUAACUCCGUG